GGGUGAUUAGCUCAGCUGGGAGAGCACCUCCCUUACAAGGAGGGGGUCGGAGGUUCGAUCCCGUCAUCACCCACCA
rnacentral:tRNA from 4 species